rnacentral:rRNA from 1 species
GACGAACGCUGGCGGCGUGCCUAACACAUGCAAGUCAAAGGAAAGCAACUUCGGUUGUAAGUACUUGGCGCAAGGGUGAGUAAUGUAUAGGUAAUCUGCCCUUAGGACUGGCAUAACCUCGAGAAAUCGAGGACAAUACCAGAUGAUGCAGCGGGACCGCAUGGUCAUGUUGUUAAAGAUUUAUCGCCUAAGGAUGAACCUAUAUCCCAUCAGGUAGUUGGCAGGAUAAUAGCCUACCAAGCCUACGACGGGUAGCUGGUCUGAGAGGAUGAUCAGCCACAUUGGAACUGAGACACGGUCCAGACUCCUACGGGAGGCAGCUGUGAGGAAUAUUGCGCAAUGGGCGAAAGCCUGACGCAGCAACGCCGCGUGGAUGAUGAAGUUCUUCGGAAUGUAAAGUCCUUUUGUAGAGGAAGAACAUGUCGGUUUACCGGCACUGACGGUACUCUGCGAAUAAGCCACGGCUAACUCUGU